AGCAGCCGCGGUAAUUCCAGCUCCAAUAGUGUAUUAUAAAGUUUGUGCCAGUUAAAAAGCUCGUAGUUGAAUUUCGGGGUUAGUAGGUUGGUCGUACCACUGGUAUGUACUGGCUCUACUGAUCCCUCCUUCUUGUAGAACCGUAAUGCCAUUAACUUGGUGUUGCGGGGAAACAGGACUGUUACUUUGAAAAAAUUAGAGUGUUUAAAGCAGGCUAACGCUUGAAUACAUUAGCAUGGAAUAAUGAAAUAGGACGCUCGAUCCUAUUUUGUUGGUUUCUAGGAUUGACGUAAUGAUUAAUAGGGAUAGUUGGGGGCAUUAGUAUUCAAUUGUCAGAGGUGAAAUUCUUGGAUUUAUUGAAGACUAACUACUGCGAAAGCAUUUGCCAAGGAUGUUUUCAUUAAUCAAGAACGAAAGUUAGGGGAUCGAAGACGAUCAGAUACCGUCGUAGUCUUAACCAUAAACUAUGCCGACUAGGGAUCGGAUGAUGUUAAUUUUUUAAUGACUCAUUCGGCGCCUUACG
rnacentral:rRNA from 1 species